rnacentral:misc_RNA from 1 species
GAUGAAGAACGUAGCGAAAUGCGAUAAGUAAUGUGAAUUGCAGAAUUCAGUGAAUCAUCGAGUCUUUGAACGCACAUUGCGCCCCCUGGUAUUCCGGGGGGCAUGCCUGUCCGAGCGUCAUUGCCGCCCUCAAGCACGGCUUGUGUGUUGGGCCCCCGCCCCCCGGCUUCGGGGGGCGGGCCCGAAAGGCAGCGGCGGCACCGCGUCCGGUCCUCGAGCGUAUGGGGCUUCGUCACCCGCUCUGUAGGCCCGGCCGGCGCCCGCCGGCGACCCCAAUCAAUCUUUCCAGGUUGACCUCGGAUCAGGUAGGGUUACCCGCUGAACUUAAGCAUAUCAAUAAGCGGAGGA